rnacentral:pre_miRNA from 1 species
GAUUCCUGUGCCUACUGAGCUGAUUAUCAGUCCUAUAGAACCACUGGCUCAGUUCAGCAGGAACAGGAGU